rnacentral:misc_RNA from 1 species
AUAGAAGUGAAACAAGGCAGAGACAUUCAAGCUCAAAGCUAAUAUAUUUAGAUUUCACAUCCUAACAAGAGCUAUCGAGCAAGAUGGAGAAUAACACCAUAUUGCAUACCUUCACUUGUCACCUGGUCAAGGAAGGACGGUAUAAAAUAGAAUUAGAAGCCCUCAAGACAUUUUAACAGCCAUAUGUGAUGUCAAAAUAUCAUACUGAGCAGCUUAUGCUCUACUAUAAAGAAACAAGCAGGUCAUUCAGAUGCUUAAGAACCAACUCAACUUAUCACCUUCAAAGAGAUCCUAGUGUCAAAACCUAAAUAGAUUAAAAGGUAAACCAAAUGGGUGCAAUAUCGUAAGCCAGAAAUUGUCCUGUCUCUAUGCGUUGCCCCUCUCUUCCUUCCUGAGAACUUGAUUAAUUCGAACCACCGUUUCUUCACAAAAUACCAGGUCUCCUUUUCCAUAUUAAGAAUCUUCUUCUUCCGCAAUCAAUAUCCUCUUGCAUGCCUCAUAGCACAUGAAAGAAAUGCCUGCUGCAGGUACUAACUUCAUGCAGCUUGGGCCCAAACCUCUGUACAGACCUGCUAGCCCUUCUUUCUCAAGAAUGCUUGUAAGAGCAUGGAGCAUGUUCUGGUACUGUCUCCCAUUGAGAGCCCCAGCCUGCAUGUGCUUCCGAGCCACCUCAAGUGGGAAAGUUGCGGUACUUGAGAUUGCACCAGCUGCUGAUCCAAUCAAUAGAGUCAUGACAUUUUCAAUUUCUUGCUUCUUGAAAGCCUUUUUGUAAGCUUUCUUCAAUGUAUCAUAAGCAAAGUAAUUGGCAGCAGCAUAUGGGACUACUCCUAUUAGACUUGGGGUGAGACCCCUGUAAAGUUCACCAGGUCCUUCCUCCCGUACAAUCUUUAAGAAUGCAUCAAAAAGAUUCUUGUACACUCCUCUCUGCACAGUCAGUCGGGUUUUGAGUAACUCAAGAGGGUAUGUGCAUAAUGUGGAGCUAACUCCAGCAACAGCACCAGCUAUUGAUGAUGAAGGAGCUAGGAGUUUUUGCUUCUCCCCUGGUUUGGGUGUCAAGUGCUUCAGUACAGUAUCAUAAGCAAAUAACUCAAUAGCUUUGCUUGGUGCAACCCGGAUGACAUUAACAAAAUUGCCCCUAAACAAACCCUUCCAACCAUCGUUCUUCAUGAUGUUAUCAAACACCUCAAUUGUUGAAUGCCCACAACUCCCCACCAUCAAAAGAGUCCUUAUAGUCUCCAAAGGAGCAACAGCAGUGCGGGAUACAGCACCAGCAAUUCCCCCACUGAUCAACCUUCUCAGUGCCUGAUUUCCAACCUUAACUUUCCAUUUAAAUCCAGCCGCCUUCUUUUUCUUGGUCGCCUUAACCAUUCCUUUAUUUCCCACUUCCAAUACCUCACUUAUAACCAACUCUGGAGUCCUUUCCACCGGUAAAACUGGUUCAGGCAUUGAAACAAAUUUCAUCUGCAUACUAGCAGCUGGAGUUAUUGUGUUUGUGGCAUUUUCUAAUGAAUUUGGAGAGAUCCCAAAUCCCUUUCCUACUUGAUUGACACUAGCAAAUACACCACGGGCAUGAAAUAUAUCGCUCCUAACACUACUCUCUUGAGUCAAUAGUUGAAGUUUAACACCAGAACUAGAGAACACCACACCCUGGUUUCUAUCUCGAAGAACUUGCAAACUAUUUCUAUCCAUAGCUACCAAAGCUUCAAAUUUUGCUCUCUACUUCUCUUUUCAGAGAUCACGGGCUUUCGAUAUACGCUCAAAACCAGAUGUACGCAAAGAACACUAUAAUUUACAGUAUGGAGG